rnacentral:lncRNA from 1 species
UAAUAGCCGUUCUGACUGGUGUGAGAUGGUAUCUUAUUGUGGUUUUGAUUUGCAUUUCUCUAAUGAUCAGUGAUGAUGAGCUUGUUUGGUUUGGUUGGACAGGAGUGGGGCGUGGGAGCACUGCACGCUUCUGCAGGAGUUCCUCUUGUCCUCUGCAACUUCCUUUGCCCCAGGUACACUUACUGGGUUUUCACAGAACAUUUCAAGCUUUGUAGCCAGCCUUGGUCUCACAGGAUAACGGUGGUUUCAGGGAGAAGGAAAGCAUAGCUGGCUUAAUGAGUCUUCCCUAGAUUGUGUGAUGGGAACAGAGUUUAGAGUUUUUGAUGACCUUGGAGGUUCCCUGUUCACUU